ACAAAACUUCAUCAAACAAAAGGCUUUUGUUAAAAUCCAUUUGCGCAAAACGUUUAACUCGAACUAUUUUGGUCUCAAGGGAAGCGCGUACGAACGAAUUGAACGCGUUAUGAAAUAUUGUCUGAGACGUUGAAGACUCGAAUCAGCUUUAAAGCGCUAGAAAAGCAAACGAAUAACUGUGUUCUAAUUCGUACAAGACAAGGACAAAGGCUCCAUACUAAAUGACUGUAGAUGUUGUCUGACGAGUUGUUCCUAUGAUCUACAUUGCCGGUAAUGUCCAUGCUUAGCUGUCCAUUUUAAGGGAUUUGGUGUGUUGGAACUGGUUGAGUCCGCCAUCUUGAAGUCUUGGUGAAUCAAGAAACGAGAAAGAACGCUGAAUAAGUCAAGAAAUAAGCCGUAUUAAGUCCCGUGGAUGUCUGGAACAAAGGAGGCUUGACGGCAAAGUUUAAUAUCCCAGAAAGGCGAGACCAAUCAAGAAAGACCAAGGAGUUAAAUCAACCGUUUUUUGAUAUUUUCUUAUUUUAGAUUUCAGUAAUACCGUAAACCUCAACGUGAAAAAUAAGCCACUACGAAAAUGCCCCAUGACUUUAUUAAAACCAAAAAGGCACGGUAACGUUGGGGUAAUAUUUAAUCCAGGGGUUUUU